CAGAAGGUAGUUUAGUCUAAAAUACCAGCUUUGGGAGUUGGUGAUGGGGGUUUAAUUCCUUCCUUUCUGA
rnacentral:tRNA from 1 species